UUGGGAACUGUAAUUGGUUAAGAGCAUUGGAAAUUCUAGCUCUCUGAGGGGACCCCCUAACAACCUCCCCCCUCAGCAGCUGCAAAUAUCUGGGAACAGGCAGAAGGAUUUCCAGGUCAAUAGUGUUUGUCAUUAGCAUGGGGAUUGUGUGGAAGAUCAACUGUGUGUCAGCAAGUCAGGAGGUUAAAGAGCUACAAGGACAGUGUACAAGCAAAUCAAUAGGUUGGUUCAUCUCUGGUCCCAAUAUAUAAAAAUGGAAAUUGCUUCCCCUCAUUGUGAAAAUUUUCCAAAUAUCAUACACUCUGCUUCCUGUAUCUAGUUUCUAAUCCAGGCAGAAGGCCUUUUUGGUAGUGGAGCACCUUCCCCUCAGAUGUCAAGGAGAUAAAGAACCACAUAAUUUUGUAUUGAAGGCAGCCCUGUAUUGGGAAGUUUUUAAUGUUUGAUGUUUUAUAUAUGCUGUAAGCCACCCAGAGUGGUUGGGGAAAGCAGUCAGAUGGGUGGGGUAUUAUUAAUUAUUAUCAUUAUUAUUAUUAUUAUUAGACGACUUUUCUUCUUGCUCCAUGAUUGCUAACUUUAUGCAGGCACCAAGUUAAAAUUGCUGUGUUUACCCACUCAAGUGAGGGACUUUGUUGGAAAUUCUUAAGUAUAUAUUAUCUACCACAGGUAUGGGAAACUUUUGGCCUUCCAGAUGUUGCUGAGCUAGAACUCCUCUCACCCCUGGCUACUGGCCAUGUUUGCUAGGAUUGAUGGGAGUUGUAGUCCAGCAAUAUCUGAAGGGCCAAAGACUCCCUACUCCUCAUCUAUCAAAACAUCCUUAUCCACAUAUCUGUUGACACAUCCAAUCAAGCCCACAAGGUUGGUAAGCUUAGCUAGAAUUUGUGGAAGCCAUGCUGAGCAUUCCUCAGCACAGCUUGUUCUUCUACGUUUGAUGAAUUUAAUAAUAAGAAUGUACACUGAUUUAAACAUAACUGAUGUUAAGCUACAUUCUUGACACCACACUUCCCUAAAUACCCAUAUAAAUAAAUCAGCAUCACGUUAAGAGAUCAGCAUCACAUUGGCUACUUUCCAGUCCUCCAGCACAGAAGCUGGUUUUAGUGACAAGCUGCAUCUUUUCUGAGAAGAAGCAAUUUCACAUAUGAGUCGUCUUGGGUGGAUGCCAUCCAGAGUUGGUGACUUGUUAAUUUUUAAUUUGUCAAUAAACCCUGGGACGUCAUCUCUUAUCACUUCUACUUGACUCGCUUUGUCAGAUUGUUCCUCCUGAGAAGAUUGGUUCAGGCAGCGGUAUCUGUCUAAUGUCUUCUGCAGUGAAGACAGAUGCAAAGAAUUCAUUCAGCCUUCCUGAAACCUUUUAAUCCUUUAGAAAUCCUUACACUUUUCUGUCCUCUAAUUGUCCAAAUGUCUCCCUAAUUAGUUUGCUUCUUUUGUCCUUGUUGAAGGUGUGUUGGUUUUGGUCCUUGUGUUUUUGGCAAUUCGUUUAUUAAAAAUUAUUGCCUACUUCAAUCAAUCAAUCAAUCAAUCAAUCAAUCAAUCAAUCAGUGGCUUGGAUAUAUUGAUUGUAAUCAUCAGGAGCCAUGCAUUCCAUAUUGUGGGCCCAAUGCUGGGGUACGCCCCCUCACCAUGUGAUCAGACCUCUCCCCACCCCCUGAUUUAAAUUGAAUUUCCAGCACCUUGUGAAAACAUCUUAAAUUUCAGCAGUUAUUUUAAAUAUCCCCCCCAAUUGAAUAGUGGGCUUUAACUGAUUUUUUUCUUUUUUUGUGUCUUGUUAACCUUAUAAUACGCUGCUUGAACAAUCCAUUUAUUUAAAUAAAUAAGAUUUUAAAAUUUAAGCUUUUAAAUCAAUGCAGCUGAAAAUGAAAUAAAAUACAUUUGAAACAGAAUCCAAAUGGAAAGGGAGCAGAAUUUGUUUGUUUCAAAAAAGGAGAGAUUACAUAUGAAUUACAGUACAGAGAAAGUACAAAAGCAAAAUAAAACAAAUAUUUUAUAUAUUUCACAAAAUUUACACACAAUUUGUUUGUAAUAAAACCUCAGUGCUGUUUACAAAAUAGCAGCCAACCAAUAGAAAAUGAUAGCAGCAGUGAAAACUGCCACCACUACCCAUAAGACAAAACUUGAUUUGACAACAGAAUGAGUUUAGGGAUGGGGCCAGGUGGGCUUAAUUGGCAAGGGAGUUCCACAGCACUGGCACCACCACUGGAAAGGCCCUGCCCCCUGCAUUAAUACCAAAUUCUUUCUUCAUGUGCCUGAUUGCCAGCUUACAUUUGCUGAACAGCUGUGUUUAAUAUAUCUUAGUAACUCAUCAGGAAGAUGGCAAGGAAAGGGAGUGCACACACUAAUCAUGGAACUGGGAGCCCAGUGGCUGCCAUUGAUAGAUGUAGCUUUACAUACCCCCUUUUCUUUCCUGUAAUCACUUCUACUAAUAGUGAACUCAGGUGGUGAGCAUUAACUGAGAAACAAGAGGCAGGUAUCCACAAGGAAAGGGGGCCUUCAAGGUUUGCAGUUCACAAAAAUCUACCUCCAGACCUAAUUGAAUAAUCAAAAAUCAGCACAAUGAAGACUGAGUAUGCUUGUUAGUGUUGGACCAUUCACUGUGAGUUGGAAGAUAAAAAUUUAAAAAACUGGAUGGAGGGCAUUGCUGAUUGGCUGGUAACCUAUUUAGAGGUGAGUAGCCUAUAACAUUUUGUUGUAGAUCUCAUCCGUGUCCAAUGGCUAAAUAUUACCCGCAAUAUUUCAUGGUUUACUAGAGAACAAAGUUGAAUUACAGUACCAUUUGUAGUAUUAUCAUGGUACUUUGACCGUGGACAUAAAACUUUUUCAUCUGUUUAAUUUUUAAUCUAUGUUUUAUAGCAAUAUUGGAGAUACGGGAUAAGCUUACACAGUUACCCCAGCGAUUUCAUGUUGACAUCAUCGGUUUGUAAAGGCAGAAGACAGCUCCACUGACUUAUUACAAGGUUAUGGGAUUUGAUGAUGUAAUGUAAGGCAGAUGCUGUGGAAAUAGGAUAUCAAAUAAAUGAUAGCUUACCAUGAUUUCUAUCUCCCCCCAACUGAAAAAUAAAUUUUGAAAGCCUUAAAUACUGGGACAUUUCAAACAAAGGAAUUUGUCUGUGCUCAGAUCUGUGGGGUGUAACAGAAAAACAAGGAAACAUUAAAUGAAUUUCACUGGAAACAAAAAAAAAGGGGGGGGGAAUGCUGAAAUUGUCAGCUACAGAAGUAACUUCACAUGCUGUUUUUAUGAACUGUCCUACCUUGUCUCCAUGCAGAAAAAGAAAAAGAAAUCACAUUUAAUUGUUAUUUUGUUGUUAUCUAACAUCUAACCAACUCAAGAAAAAUUAAAAGAAUGGGUAUAAUAAAUGAUAAGCUGGAAGGAUCUCCAGCUGAAUGCAGACUUUUUCAUAUGGGAUGUGUGCUUGAAUGCACAUUCAAAUAUCUAUCCAAAGAUCUAUUUCAGUGUGCAUUCUGUCAUGGCCAAAUCCGGAGCAGGGCUUCACAGAGAGGGCAAUGUGAUUGAUUUGCCUUCCCUGACAUCAUCAUGUAGACAAACCCUCAUAGUCACUGCGUAACCCAAAUUGGUUGUGAUCCCUUGGUGAAAGUGGAAAAAGAAACCUUGUUGAAGUUAACAAAAUAGCUACAAACAAGUAUUGACUGGGAAACAACGAUCACCCAAGGGCAGCGGUGGAACAAGCCAAUUGGGUGCCUGGGGCGGCACGCGUGCCCUGUGCCCAGGGGCGGGGCCAGCAGCCCACGGGGUGGGGAGAGCCAGGGCAAGACUCUCCGCAGAGCCUCUGAGGAGUCUGCUUGCCUCCUCCCACUCAGCCGCCCUACAGCUGAGGGGGAGGAGGCGGGCAGACCAUUUGGGGCAGCACAGAGGCUGUGGGUGCCCAAGCCACCAUGUCACUCCCAGGAGAGAGUGGGUGCCGCCUGGCAUUUUGUCACCCCCUCAGUGGUGACACCCGGGGCAGACCACCCACAAUGCCCCCUUCCUCUGACCCUGCAAAAGGGUAGGAGAAACUGUGCAAAAUGGGAGUUUGCAGGACACCAUUGGCAAUGAUGUAUGGAAGUGAGAGCUGGACCAUAAACAAGGCUGAUCGCCGAAGAAUUGAUGCUUUUGAAUUAUGGUGCUGGAGGAGACUCUUGAGAGUCCCAUGGACUGCAAGAAGAUCAAACCUAUCCAUUCUGAAGGAAAUCAGCCCUGAGUGCUCACUGGAAGGACAGAUCGUGAAGCUGAGGCUCCAAUACUUUGGCCACCUCAUGAGAAGAGAAGACUCCCUGGAAAAGACCCUGAUGUUGGGAAAGAUGGAGGGCACAAGGAGAAGGGGACGACAGAGGAUAAGAUGGUUGGACAGUGUUCUUGAAGCUACCAGCAUGAGUUUGACCAAACUGCAGGAGGCAGUGGAAGACAGGAGUGCCUGGCGUGCUCUGGUCCAUGGGGUCACGAAGAGUCAGACACGAAUAAACAACAACAACAAUUGACAAUGGGACUUACUUAUGAGAAAGCAUUUCAGAAGAAUUUUGAUAUUUAUUGAAAAUUGAAAUUUUUUUUAAAUUACAGAGAAAAAACAAAGCAGAAAAGGAAAGAAAAAAGAAACAAAGAAAAAACAAACCACAUCAAACAAUACAAAUUCAAAAAACAAAAAUACGCCGCAAACAGACAAUAAUAACUCCAUCAUUCUCAAAUCCUCAACUUUCAUUACCUUCUUUCUUUGACCUCCUCCUCCUCCCUUUUUUUGUAUCCUAGUUAAUAAUUAUCGCAGCAAAUCCUUUCCAUAUUUCAUAAUAUUCUGUCAUUACAUUACCUUAAUCUAUUUUCAUCUUAUCUUAUAGAAAACCUUAAAAACUUAAAACUUAAAUCUUAUUUUUACCGACUUCUCACAACCAUAAUAUUCUUACCUAAUUCUUUAAACAUUUUUACUAGAGCCAAGUAAUUUCAUUCCAGCAUUUUUCUAACAUUCAUCAAUUUUAUAAAACAAUCCUGGUAAUAAAAAAAAAGAGAUAAAAAUAAUCGAGUCUUCCUCCAGCGUCCCUUCCUCCUGGUCCCGGGUUUUGUCAGUCCUUUUUAUCCCAUCGAUCUAGCGCAUUAACCUGGUAACCUUAUAUCCGAGGCCCUUAAAUCUCUUCCAUGUCCCUUCCGCAGCUCUUCUUCAUAUUCUCCUUUCACUCGUGGGAACUCCAGCUUGGUGAUGUUUUUGACCCUUUUCAGCAAAUCAGCCCCUUUUCCAUAGUCCAGACUAAACUCCAUGUGGUAUUUAAAAACAUGUUUCAGAAUCCCUCCAAAAUUGAGAGCCCCACAGCUCCAAACAUCUCACGGCCCAUUGCCAGACUCGGAAAGUCCAAACAUCCCUGCAUAGGGGGGUCUAUCCAACCCCCCAUUUCCAAACCAAUCCAAACUUUAUCUUUCCAAAUCUGGCUUUUUCCAAGUUCAUUUGUCAAGUCCAAAAGCUCAUGCUCCUGCAAGGCCGCAGCUCCCUCCAUCUCUGGCGCCCAAGAUUCAGCAACAUCCUCUUCUCUCAUCUGCUCUGUCAGGACGCACUCCUGUUCUAAUUCCUGGGUGGGCUCCACAUAGUUUCCCACUGCCUGUUCAAAAAUUCUGGCCGCAUUAGUCAUCAAAUCCAUCUUCUCAUUUAACUGUUCCAGUAGGGCACUUGUUUUCCAGAGAGCACACAACAGAGCCUCUGAAUACAUUGUCCUACAAGGUCACAAGUCCAUUCCCACGAUUGUAAUCUGUGACAGCUGCAAGCUCCCUGGAAUUAGUUACAGUUUCACAGUCUCCCUCUAGGGGAGAACUUCUAUUUGUUCUUGCAACAAAGUAUCCUUUUGAGAUAUUUUGUCAAUAUUUGUUCCUUAAAAUGCGAAAGGAAACAGUGGAAUCACUAUGUUUCUCUUCCUUUAACUAUCUGUCAAAAACGUUUGUCUCUGGUCAAUGAGCUUCAAACGUCAGUCCUGACACCCUGCUCCAGGAUCAGGACGGUGGAAAGUUACUUUACUUUAAACUCACUUCUGCAGGUUUAAACAGUCCGAAAAAGAUCCCCCUUCUUCUCCUGCUGUCGAAGGGGGGUUCCACAAUUUUAAAUGAUGAAAUCCAAUCCUUUAGAGGCGAUUUUCUGAGCUCUAGUUUACGUUGUCUUUGCUUUAUUCUGUCUACAAAUAAACGGAAGGCUGACUUCCUGUUUAGACCUUCCCGUUUCAGUACCAAAUUGAAGUAAAUUUUUAAGUCCAAUUCCUUUCUGCACGCAAGUCCUUAUUUAAAGUCCGAUUGUUCAAAUUUUAAGUACUCACGGGUGCUUAUUUUAGAAGCCAAAUUGUCCCAGGAGAAAGGCAGCGCUCUCCGGCAACGGCUAUGCGGCUUCGCUCCACGGAAAUAGCAGUUGACUCACAGCACCGCGCCACUUCCCCCUCUUCACUUCGGAGCCCGUUAGUGGGUUCCUUUGCGGGUUGGGGGGGCGCAAAGGGUGCCCGCCGAGUCCCAUGGUCACAGGCUUCAUCCGCCUGUGAUUUUUAGCAGGGGAUGACAGAGGACGAGAUGGUUGGACAGUGUUCUUGAAGCUACCAGCAUGAGUUUGACCAAACUGCAGGAGACAGUGGAAGACAGGAGUGCCUGGCGUGGUCUGGUCCAUGGGGUCACGAAGAGUCAGACACGAAUAAACAACAACAACAAUUGGCAAUGGGACUUACUUAUGAGAAAGCAUUUCAGAAGAAUUUUGGCCAAGAAGAAGGGUAUUGUUGGAUCAUAUAGUGCUAUGCUAAGUGAUGUGUGGAGCUCCCAUCUCUAACUGCGGGAAAGCCAUGCCUCAGCAAAGCUAAAGCAAAACUGCCAUCUGCUCCUUCUUAUACACAGUCUGCUAAGCAUUCCUUUCCAAAAGCAGCCCUGCAGGUGAAUUGCUUAUUCAGGGGACCAUCUACAGCCAUCGAGAGACAUUAACAUCAUUUUGUCAAGUCCCAGGCUGGAGUCAGGCAUUGCUUUAAGGCAAAAACCUUAGUGAUAAGAACCAUUCAAAGCAAACCCAUUCCCAGUAAUCAGACAGCAAACUUGCAAAUUUGAAGGCUGGGACCUCACUUAACUUAUAAUUAGGCUGUAAGCCUGUGAAAAAGGCCCGUUCUUAAUGUUUAAUCUAGCAGUUUUCGGUGCUUUAUAAAUAUUAUGAUGAACUUUUCUGGGAAUAAAAAUGCAUGGGAUUGGACUGUAAUGGCUGUAUAAUGUCCAAUGCACAGUCAAACAAGUGCAAAUUUCUACCCAAACUGUAGCUUCUAAAUAAUAAUAUUAAUAUACCCUGUCCAUUUCCUAUAAAUGUAUUCUGGUAUUUUUGUGGUGUUUUUUCACUCUAAAUGUAAUAUAAUGUUAUAGAUACAGACUAACUUCCUUUGAUCAGUAUUUAUUAUCUUGUCACUUGCCUUGAUAUACCGGUAAAAAAAAUGCAGCUGCUUUGAUAAAUGGAUUUGAAAGGUUAUCUGGUUUCACAUAAGCUUCUGCAAGUUGCUUCUGUAUAUUAUUCUGCUGUAAUGUUAUUUUGGAGCUUCUUAAAGCUAUGCUUCAGGGAGGCAGGGGGAGAGAAUUAGAUCCUUUGAGGCAGAAGGGGAAAACGAUCGCUGAAUCAUUAUUCACUCUUUCCUACCCCCUACCCUUGUUUAGAGAUGGUGUGCAAGAGUAUAAUCCCAGAGAGAGAGAGAGAGAGAGAGAGAGAGAGAGAGAGACAGACACUGACUUCUGCACAAAACAGGGUGCUCUACACCAGUGUUCUUCAAUCUUGGGUCCUCAGAAAUUCUUGGACUACAGCUCCCAUCAUCCUCAAGGAUGCACACCAAGGUUGGGGAACUGGUGACCCUCAAGACGUUGGUGGACCACAACUCCCAUCGUCCCUGACUACUGGCUGGGGCUGAUGGGACAGUUGGAGUCCAAUGACACCUGGAGGGCUACAAAACCCCAAUUGCUGAUUUAGCAACUGGGGCUAUGCUGAAUCCUUGAAACUGGUUAGCAAUUGCACCCUCAGUGGGUUAAGCUCUUAGCUCGUAUCUAGGUGGAUGUCUGUCUAUACAUGCAAUCUCUGCUACCACUGGGCAGCAAGAAUGGGGAUAUGCUUAAGAUAGAUAUGAGUGUGUGGAACCAAGCCUUAUGAGGAGUGGUUGAAGGUUGGGUAUGUUUAUCCCGGAAAAGAGACUGAGAGGAGAUAUGAUCACCGUCUUCAAAUAUCUGAUGGGCUGUCAUAUGGAAGAUGCAGCAAGAUUGCUUUCUCCUGCUCCAGAAGGUAGGACUGGAACCAAUGGCUUCAGAAAGGAGAUUCUGACUAAACAUCAGAAUAACUUUCUGACAGUAAGAGCUGUUCGACAGUGGAAAAUACUUCGGGAGGUUGUGAACUCUCCUUCCUUGGAGGUUUUUAAGCAGAGGUUGGAUGGCCACCUGUCAUGGAUGCUUUAACUGAGAUUUAGUGGUGUUGCAAGGGGUUGGCCUAGAUGAUCCUCAGGCUCCUUUCCAACUCUGCAGUUCUAUGAAUCAACAGAAGCUGCCUUAGACUGAGUCAGUCUCUUUGACCUUUUACCUCAGUAUUGCCGGGUUUCCUUCUGUGAAAUGAGUACAUUUUUGGUGCCAUGAGAGUUUCAAAAUCUGCCCCCUUCCCCAGAUGACAAUAGUUUUUUGGGGGGGCCUGACCUACGUGCUUCAAUAUCCACCAGUCCCAGUUUUGGGUUUGGGAGGAACUGUGAUGUGCCCUCAGGAGGGCUCCUGUUCUGCCUCACCCCCAUUCUAAGGCUUGAGAGUGUCAGGAGUGCAUGCAGGAGCCAGGCCCUGUGACUGGUAGGGCUUCGCAGGACUGGGACUUUCCUAAGUUUGUUCUGAAGAGGCAAGGCGUGGCCACACAGGUGAGACCGAUUGGUAACUCACAGCACCUGGUGGCAAGAGCCAGGAAGGGAUAUAAGGUCAGCAUUUCCCUUUGGCUGUUUGCCACAGCAACAUGCUUUCUGCCUUGCUGCGUUUGGCUUCUUGACUCCUGGUUUCCUGACCCUCGGACCCUUGACUCCCAGCUCUAUGACCCUUGGACUCUUGGCUUCUGGACUCCUGGCUUCCGGACUCCCGUUCCUGCUCCCACCCCGCCAUCUUGCCCCCAGUCCUGAUGUCCUCCGCCAGGACUUUGACCGUCCAUGACAGAGAGUGAGUGUUGGUGUCCAGAGGCAGCCAACACUUCUUUUCCCUUGCCUGUCCUCUCCUUUUAGGUCUGACAGUGAGAAUGAGGAGGCCUGUGAAGCCCAAUUCACAUUGCCCAGAGGGAGAGAGAAGGCAGCAGUUGCUGCUCUUUGGACUGGUAUUUGAAUGAGCGGAGAUGGAAUGGCAAGUGCUUCCUGUCCACUGAUCCUGCAUAGGAGAGGACUGUAUGUGGAAUGGAUGGGAGCUGAUGGGGAGGAGGUGGAGACACAGCACAGGUACUCAAACCUUUUUGGCACUCAACCUUUACCACUGCUGAUUGGGGCAGUUGCUGUUUUUCAGUAGUGACUUAGCAGGGAUCAGUUCUGGCAGACCCUCCUAAGGCACUGGGGUCUUAGGAUAAAAAGAAAAGAAGAUCCCGAUUGGAUCAGGCCAGAGGACCAUCUAGUCCAGUGGCCAACCAGUAGCCCACAAGCAGCACCUAAGUGCAAUAGCUCUUACCCCCCUGCAAUAGCCUUAUUCUCCAUGAAUUUGUCUGCUCUUUUAAAGCCAUCCAAGUUGAUGCCCAUCUCUUGUCGCCGCUGUCCGACAGUGCCAACUCCUGAUGCCAGUCCUGGUAUUCAUUUCCCAUUUUGUCUCAAAGCUCAUUUGACUUUCAAAUGACUUUCAAGACAAAGAUCGAGAGGGCAGCUGAGCAUGUGGGAAGAGAAUGGCGAGUAACUGUUAGCUCUCCCUUCAUUUACAGGUAUAAUGAUAUGCUAUCUUGCAUCUGCAAUUAACCUAAGCUUUAAACUCUUAUCGGGCAGAGGGGGCAAGAGAGGCUCCUCAUCUACGGUGAACUGAGUCUGCCGUGAGCCAGGAAGUUGCUGCAAGGACAACUUUUGGACAGGCACAGAAAAUGGUAACGUUGCAUUUCUAACCAUGUCUAUUCAAAAGCAGUUUGGUUGUUUUUAGUUUAGACAAAAGACAAGUAAGAGAUGACAUGAUAAAAGCUUGUAAAAUUUGCAGGGCAUGGAGAAAAUGAAUAGAAAAGUUUUUUUUAAAAAAAAAUUAAAUCAUUUUUUAAAAAAUAUUUUUAUUAAAGAUUUCUUUACAAAAAUAUGUGCGUUGUCUCUUUUUUCAAGUUGUGUUUUCUAAAGAUCAGUUUCAUUUGUUGUGAGUCAUUAGUGUUACAUACAGUGUUAGGUUAGGAAGAAAAUGGGGAAAGAGAGGGGAGGGGGCAUGGAGAGUGGGGUGGGGUCGGGUGGUUACGCUUCAGUUCUUCUACUUAGUGUAUGUGUGGGGUUUCAUGUCAGUGUCAUUUGUGUGGGUUCUCUUACUUUUCGCUUGUUGUAUUUCCUUGGUGGUGAGAGAGGUUGCGGGGGUGGCAUAGUUUGUGGUUGGUUGUCUUUGGCUGGCUGUAGUGAGAUUUGAUUUUGUGUGUGAGCGGUGUGUGUGUAUUUGAAUCAGAUUGCCAGAUUGAUUUGUAUGCUGUCAGCGGAUUCUUGUUGUUGUCUUCUUGAUAGAAAAGCUUUUCUCCCUCUCAUAAUAGCUCAGCUGGUUAGAAUGCAGCACUUGUAACACCAAGGUUGCAGGUUUGAUCCCCAUAUGGGACAGCUGCAUAUUUAUGCAUCGCAAAAGGUUGAAUGAGAUGAUCCUCAGGGUUCCUUCAAACACUACAAUUCUAUGAUUCUGUGAGAAUUCGGGGACAUCCAAGCUGAAUGUUGGAAGGUUCCAGACGGAUAAAAGAAAGCACUUCUUCACACAAUGCUUAGCUAAACUAUGGAACUUGCUCCCACAGGAGGCAGCGAUGGCCACCAACCAAGAUGGUAUAAAAGAGGAUUAGACAAAUUCAUGGAGGAGAAGGCUGUCAAUAGCUACUAACCACAAUGGCUAUGUUCUGCCUCUAUGGUCUGAGGCAGUGAUGCUUCUGAGUACCAGUUACUGGAAAAACAGGAGGAGAGAAUGCUAUUGUGCUCAGGUCUUGCCUGAGGGUUUGCUAAAGCCAUCUGGAUGGGCACUGUGAGAAGAUGCUGGACUAGAUGGGCCAUUGGCCUUACCCAGCAGGCUCUCUUUAUGUUCUUACAUUUUUAUGUCCUAUUAAAUCCAAUGGACCUUACUCCAAGGUACAUGGGGUUAGGAUGGCAGCCCCUAGAAUCAUAUCCAUGGAGCAUAAAGAGCAAUUGGGUGGACAUGCAGAGUUUGCAGAGACUUUGAAAACGUUCUCCCUUUUUUAUUUUAGCUGGACAAAUGUUAAACUUUAGCAGCAGCAGCCCUGUAAAAAGGAAAGCUAUUGAACAGGGAGAACAGGAAGACGCUGGCUUAUCUGAAGCUGGGUAUGAAAUGUUAUUUCAGGGCAGUGCUAGCAAAUUCCUAUUAUAUUUCUCCCCCUCCCUGUCAGCUAAUCCGUGGAGAUAGAAUGAUGAAGCUGCUGCACUGAAGGGAGACAUCUCCAAUUAGAGGUGGAAACAAGAAAAGGGCAAAAGGGGAGAAAGGAAAACAGGAAGAUUAUUUUGGAAGCAAG